UAGAUUCCACUUUAGGUUCAGGAUUUCUGUGCUUGGGGUGUUGGGGUCGACUUGAGCUUUCUCGAGUUGUUCCUUAAUCGCCUCAAUCUUCUUCUCUGUAUUUGAUGGAUUUGUCCGCUUCCAUCGAGAGAUAGACCGCUGAACGUCGCUAAUCUUUGCAUGGAGCGGUCGGUUUGGAUCAGGUUCCGUGAAACCCCAUCCCGCUUCUAUGGCGUCCUUGAAACCAUCUUUAUACAGCCAGCGUCUAUCAAACUUAAAGCAUCUCUGUAAGCUAACUGAUCGAGACUGUAUACGGGUCAAGAUAGGACGGUGAUCUGAGCCCCAUAAUUUUAAAUACUCCACAUUUAUGUGGGAAAAAAACUGAUGCCAGUCUUCAUUACCUACAUCUCUAUCCA
rnacentral:lncRNA from 1 species